rnacentral:rRNA from 1 species
GUCCACGCCCUAAACGUUGAUUACUCGUUGUUGGCGAUAUACAGUCAGCGACCAAGCUAAAGCGUUAAGUAAUCCACCUGGGAAGUACGACCGCAAGGUUGAAACUCAAAGGAAUUGACGGGGGCCCCGCACAAGCGGAGGAGCAUGUGGUUUAAUUCGAUGAUACGCGAGGAACCUUACCUGGGCUUGAAAGUUAGUGACCUCCUGUGAAAGCAGGAUUCUCUUCGGAGCACAAAACUAGGUGCUGCAUGGCUGUCGU